GAUGAACGCUGGCGGCGUGCCUAAUACAUGCAAGUCGAGCGAACAGACGAGGAGCUUGCUCCUCUGACGUUAGCGGCGGACGGGUGAGUAACACGUGGAUAACCUACCUAUAAGACUGGGAUAACUUCGGGAAAUCGGAGCUAAUACCGGAUAAUAUAUUGAACCGCAUGGUUCAAUUGUGAAAGACGGUUUUGCUGUCACUUAUAGAUGGAUCCGCGCCGCAUUAGCUAGUUGGUAAGGUAACGGCUUACCAAGGCAACGAUGCGUAGCCGACCUGAGAGGGUGAUCGGCCACACUGGAACUGAGACACGGUCCAGACUCCUACGGGAGGCAGCAGUAGGGAAUCUUCCGCAAUGGGCGAAAGCCUGACGGAGCAACGCCGCGUGAGUGAUGAAGGUCUUCGGAUCGUAAAACUCUGUUAUUAGGGAAGAACAAAUGUGUAAGUAACUAUGCACGUCUUGACGGUACCUAAUCAGAAAGCCACGGCUAACUACGUG
rnacentral:rRNA from 1 species